rnacentral:rRNA from 1 species
UGGGGAAUAUUGGACAAUGGGCGCAAGCCUGAUCCAGCAAUGCCGCGUGUGUGAAGAAGGCCUUCGGGUUGUAAAGCACUUUUAUCAGGAGCGAAACGCUGUCGGCUAAUACCCGGCGGAACUGACGGUACCUGAGGAAUAAGCACCGGCUAACUUCGUGCCAGCAGCCGCGGUAAUACGAAGGGUGCAAGCGUUAAUCGGAAUUACUGGGCGUAAAGCGUGCGUAGGCGGUUUCUUAAGUCUGCUGUGAAAUCCCCGGGCUCAACCUGGGAAUGGCAGUGGAUACUGGGAGGCUAGAGUGUGUCAGAGGGUGGUGGAAUUCCCGGUGUAGCGGUGAAACGCGUAGAGAUCGGGAGGAGCAUCAGUGGCGAAGGCGGCCACCUGGGACAACACUGACGCUGAGGCACGAAAGCGUGGGGAGCAAACAGGAUUAGAUACCCUGGUAGUCCACGCCCUAAAGCGAUGCGAACUGGAUGUUGGUCUCAACUCGGAGAUCAGUGUCGAAGCUAACGCGUUAAGUUCGCCGCCUGGGGAGUACGGUCGCAAGACUGAAACUUAAAUG